ensembl:snoRNA
ACCGAUACCAUGAUGACCGCAUAGUUCAGCUGAUCACCCAUGACGAUCCAGAGCAUUGUCUUUCGCUCCUAGCUGAUGUAUCCUU